rnacentral:lncRNA from 1 species
AAAAAUAAAUGGAAGCUUGUUAUUAUUUUAGUAACGGAAAUUAAAAAUAAAAAAGAAAUAAUAAUUAAGGCGCGCUUUCCUGUUUCCGCAUUGAAUGCACUAGCCACCCCCACGCUAAAACCACACUUCAUUUCCUGUGCUUUAAUAUAUCAAUAACCCCACACCAAAAUAAAUAAAGAAAAGGGAAAAAAAAAUCUUUAUUUCUCUCUCAGUCACUCUCUUUCAUGACUUCUCACCCCGAGCCUUGAGGAAGAACACCAGUUGUAGCGGUGCGAUUCCGAUUCGGAGUCCUCAAAGGCUUCCUCCAGAGAGACGACGCAGCGGAAUGGAUAGAUCGAACGUUCGAACAAGAGUUAGCUUGANGGAAACCGAGAGAAGAGCUCGAAAUAGGAGAUGAGCUCGAGAUCNUCUCUCUGUAACGGGUUUGGUUUUUCAAUCUUUUUCUUUCCUGUUCUUUCUCUGCUUCUUGGGUGUUUCCGAUUUUUAUGCGUGGUCCUCUCUAUCCGUUGAUCUGCACGUCUUCGAAAUUUGAUUUUCGUUUUGGGUUUUUCUCUUCGAAAUUUGAUUUUCGAAAUUUGAUUUUCUUUCCUUUUCUUUCUCAAUUUUAUACGCUUGUGGGUUGGUUUUUGCACUAUUCCAAACUCCAAUUUUACCUCAUUCACCCCCACAUUUCAUCUCACGGAUUCUCUCCUCUUCUUCCUCUCCUUUCUUGAUUGUUCUCUUCUUCACCUCUUGGGUUUCAAUUACUGCUGUUGAUUGGUGGUGUGGAGGAGCGCAGAUCUUGGUUUCGUUGCUGG